UGCGGUCAACUCUAACAGCAGCUUGGGUGUUAUUUUCACAGAGAACCUUCUCGCAACAAAUGGCAAUUCCUCGGUUACAGGCCCAUUGGCUUCCCUUCUGACUCCUAUAGAAUUAGAGCUAUUGGGUCUCUUCUCUUAAACAGAGAGAAGAAACAGCCGCGAGAUGACUUGGCGGGAAGCGUUCUCCGCCGCUGGCAUGGCGAAACAACAGGGAGAGAGAGUUGGUGCUGUGCUGGCAUGGAAUGGCACUUGUUGCCACGUCAGCUUGGCGCUUUUAGAUAGUCAUCGGUCUUUCACCUUUUGACUUUUCCCUUUGAUUUCAAAUAAAGAAAAUAUUCUUCUCAAUUGUUGGAAUACUCUAGGGUACCUUUAGGACAAGAGCCAAUCUCUUUGUAUUCCCUUUUGUUCUGUCAGCAGAAAAGUUUUAUUUUCUAGUUGCUUUUGGGUUCUUUACUCUAUUAUAGCUGUAUAAAAAAAAGUCUUGCUCUUGGUUUUCCUGCUGCUGUUCUGUUGGCAUCGGGUUGCCUGUAUACUCCACUUUCAACGCAACUGAGAAUAGAGAUCAGAAUGAACAACAUAAAUGGCUUUUUUUACUGUUGGCAUCGUUUUCUCUCUCUCUCUCUCUCUCUCUCUCUCUCUCUCUCUCUCUCUCUUCCACCUUAUUUUGCAGCUUAUGGUUCUUUCAGCCUUGUUCAAGUGUUCACGGACAAACUCAUUUCCUGGUGUGUACUCUUCUCUAUCUCUUUAUAACCAUCAUUUAACAUGUUGAGAAAGCUUGCUCUGAGGAAGAUGACAACUCCGCACCUGCUCAGGUUGCUGCCCUGGCACCGGAAGCUCCCCUCACAGCAGUAGACUACCCUGAGAUGAUCCCUGUAGUCUACAAGAAGAAAAUCUAUAGCGAUAACAUGAAUGGUAUGGAGUUUGGGCACGUAUGGAUAAGGUGUGGGCGGGAUGUCCUGUAGAUAUGAGGAAGAUACAUCGAAAACGAGUAAUUAGAGAAAAAAAAUGUAACCAAAACUAUUUCCUUACUUAGACCGGAACACACACCAAAAAAACACAACAAGAGCAUUUUCAAAACAGAGACAAAUGUGUCCACAUCGACAAUCAUGAAAGGACUUAUUGUCUUAUCAUAUGCUGGGUAUUGAUAGAGUUUCUUGUUAUUGAUAUAGAAACUUGACACACCCACAAAAAAGACACAACAAGAGCAAAUUCAAAACAGAGACAAAUACGUC